ACACUAUCAGUUCUUCUUGUACCAACUCCUUCGAGCUCUCAAGUUUAUACACACAGCUAAUGUGUUUCAUCGGGACUUGAAGCCGAAAAAUAUCCUGGCCAAUGCUGAUUGCAAGCUGAAAAUUUGUGACUUUGGGCUAGCCCGUGUGUCUUUUGAUAAUACUCCAUCCGCUAUCUUUUGGACGGAUUAUGUGGCUACCAGGUGGUAUCGUGCUCCUGAGCUAUGCGGCUCUUUCUUCUCGAAAUACACUCCUGCUAUAGAUAUUUGGAG
rnacentral:misc_RNA from 1 species